AUUGAACGCUGGCGGCAGGCUUAACACAUGCAAGUCGAGCGGGGGAGGUUGCUUCGGUAACUGACCUAGCGGCGGACGGGUGAGUAAUGCUUAGGAAUCUGCCUAUUAGUGGGGGACAACAUUCCGAAAGGGAUGCUAAUACCGCAUACGCCCUACGAGGGAAAGCAGGGGAUCUUCGGACCUUGCGCUAAUAGAUGAGCCUAAGUCGGAUUAGCUAGUUGGUGGGGUAAAGGCCUACCAAGGCGACAAUCUGUAGCGGGUCUGAGAGGAUGAUCCGCCACACUGGGACUGAGACACGGCCCAGACUCCUACGGGAGGCAGCAGUGGGGAAUAUUGGACAAUGGGCGGAAGCCUGAUCCAGCCAUACCGCGUGUGUGAAGAAGGCCUUUUGGUUGUAAAGCACUUUAAGCGAGGAGGAGGCUACUAGUACUAAUACUACUGGAUAGUGGACGUUACUCGCAGAAUAAGCACCGGCUAACUCUGUGCCAGCAGCCGCCGUAAGAC
rnacentral:rRNA from 1 species